rnacentral:rRNA from 1 species
GACGAACGCUGGCGGCGCGCUUAACACAUGCAAGUCGAACGGAAAGGCCUGCUUUCCCUUGUGGAUUGCGGGUACUCGAGUGGCGAACGGGUGAGUAACACGUGAGUGAUCUGCCCCCAACUUGGGUAUAAGCCUGGGAAACUGGGUCUAAUUCCCGAUAGGACUGCAGGGUGGUGCCUGUGGUGGAAAACGAUUUUCUAGUGGUUGGGGAUGAGCUCGCGGCCUAUCAGCUUGUUGGUGGGGUAAUGGCCUACCAAGGCGGCGACGGGUAGCCGGCCUGAGAGGGUGGACGGCCACAGUGGGACUGAGAUACGGCCCAGACUCCUACGGGAGGCAGCAGUGGGGAAUAUUGCACAAUGGGCGGAAGCCUGAUGCAGCGACGCCGCGUGGGGGAUGACGGCCUUCGGGUUGUAUACUCCUUUCGACCGCGAGGAAGCCACCUGGUUGGAAGGGUGGUGACGGUAGUGGUAGAAGAAGCACCGGCUAACUACGUG